rnacentral:rRNA from 1 species
CCUACGGGGGGCAGCAGUGGGGAAUCUUGGACAAUGGGCGAAAGCCUGAUCCAGCAAUGCCGCGUGCGUGAAGAAGGCCUUCGGGUUGUAAAGCGCUUUUGUCGGGGAGGAAAUCCUAACGGUUAAUACCUGUUGGGGAUGACAGUACCCGAAGAAUAAGCACCGGCUAACUACGUGCCAGCAGCCGCGGUAAUACGUAGGGUGCAAGCGUUAAUCGGAAUUACUGGGCGUAAAGCGUCCGCAGGUGGCUUGAUAAGAUAGACGUGAAAUCCCUGGGCUCAACCUAGGAAUUGCGUAUAUGACUGUCUCGCUAGAGUAUGGGAGAGGGGGGUGGAAUUCCGCGUGUAGCAGUGAAAUGCGUAGAGAUGCGGAGGAACACCGAUGGCGAAGGCAACCCCCUGGCCUAAUACUGACACUCAUGGACGAAAGCGUGGGGAGCAAACAGGAUUAGAUACCCCAGUAGUC